rnacentral:rRNA from 1 species
UACAGAGGGGGCAAGCGUUGUCCGGAUUUACUGGGCGUACAGCGCGCGCAGGCGGUUGCGUAUGUGAGCGGUGACAUCCGCGGGCUCAACCCGCGGCGGCCCGCUUACACAGCGCGACUGGAGGCAGGGAGAGGGAUGUGGAAUACCCGGUGGAGCGGUGAAAUGCGUAGAGAUCGGGUGGAACACCAGCGGCGAAGGCGAGUCCCUGGACACUUCCUGACACUGAGGCACGAAAGCUAGGGGAGCAAACAGG